AAAAACUGAAAAAGAGGAAACAUUUAUGCAUACCUCCUGGAAUGGAGCAAACUCAGAUUACACGUAUUUUUUUUCGUGACACAUUAUUAUUUAAGAAAACGGGACUUAUUCGAGUUUGAUUAAGUUCUAAAAUUACCUCCAACGUCAAAAUAAUGAUGUCGACUUUACACAGUCUUCUCCGAGACCAUGGGGACAACGCCGUCCUUGAAACGUCGGAUCAGAGGUAAUUUUAAAACUUACCCUAAUAAGUCCCGUUUUCGUAAACAAUAAUUUGCUAUUUAAGACAUUUGUGGCCAUUGGUACUUGUUCUGACAAGAACCAAUGGCCAAUGGCUAAGCCCCUACUGAAGCUCGGCCUUUGCCCUCACAUGAAUGAGCUUCGCAGGAAAGCUCUAGAGGUUGCAAAACCCUGUGCGGAAUACUGCCUAUGUCUUACGUCUUCGCUCAUACUUGGACCAUGGUUGGCUUGGCCUCCGGACUUAUGCGAAGCACGGUCUUCGAAUUUGCUUACACUUGGCCUUACCUACUCUUGGAACAUUACUGCUGCAGUACUGUCAAUUUCCGUGAUAAAAUGAUGGGACGGAUUGAAAAUUCUAUUCUCAGCAGUAAUGCGGCAAUAAACGUCACUCAAUUUACCAAGAAAAUUCAAUGUAAUCUUGAUGAGGGGGCACCAUGGUCUAGAAAUGCUUAGG